CAGCAGCCGCGGGAAUACGUAGGGUGCAAGCGUUAAUCGGAAUUAUUGGGCGUAAAGCGUGCGCAGGCGGUGUUGUAAGACAGAUGUGAAAUCCCCGGGCUCAACCUGGGAACUGCAUUUGUGACUGUAUAGCUAGAGUACGGCAGAGGGGGAUGGAAUUCCGCGUGUAGCAGUGAAAUGCGUAGAUAUGCGGAGGAACACCGAUGGCGAAGGCAAUCCCCUGGGCCUGUACUGACGCUCAUGCACGAAAGCGUGGGGAGCAAACAGGAUUAGAUACCCCGGUAGUCCCUGUCUCUUAUAC
rnacentral:rRNA from 1 species